UGCCCUGGCUAACCAACUGACGGCAUUGCAAAAAGCCCAGGAGAGCCAAAAAGCCGAGCUGGAAGGCAUUAUUAAGCAACAAGCUGCACAACUUAAGCAGGCGAAUCGUCAGCAAGAAACGCUGGCAAAACAGUUGGAUGAAGUCCAACAAAAGGUCGCCACCAUUUCCGGCAGCGAUGCUAAAACCUGGCUGCUGGCUCAGGCCGAUUUUCUGGUGAAACUCGCCGGACGGAAGCUGUGGAGCGAUCAGGACGUCACGACCGCUGCAGCGUUGCUGAAAAGUGCAGACGCCAGCCUGGCGGAUAUGAAUGACCCGAGUCUGAUUACCGUUCGUCGGGCAAUUACCGAUGAUAUCGCCAGCCUUUCUGCAGUAUCGCAGGUGGAUUAUGACGGCAUCAUCCUUAAGCUUAAUCAGCUUUCAAAUCAGGUAGAUAACCUGCGUCUGGCCGAUAAUGACAGCGAUGGUUCGCCGAUGGAUUCAGACGGUGAAGAGCUUUCCAGUUCCAUCAGCGAAUGGCGUAUCAAUCUGCAAAAAAGCUGGCAGAACUUUAUGGACAACUUCAUUACGAUUCGCCGUCGUGAUGACACCGCCGUACCGCUGUUAGCGCCAAAUCAGGAUAUCUAUCUGCGCGAAAAUAUUCGCUCUCGCCUGCUGGUCGCAGCACAAGCUGUACCGCGUCACCAGGAAGAGACUUAUCGCCAGGCGCUGGAGAACGUCUCCACCUGGGUACGUGCUUACUACGAUACUGAUGAUGCCACCACCAAAGCGUUCCUCGACGAGGUGGACCAGUUAAGCCAGCAAAAUAUCUCGAUGGAUCUUCCGGAAACCCUGCAAAGCCAGGCGAUGCUGGAAAAACUGAUGCAGACUCGCGUGCGUAACCUGCUGGCACAACCGGCAGCGGGGACAACGGAAGCUAAACCUGCACCUGCACCGCAAGCUGAUACUCCGGCAGCCGCGCCGCAAGGAGAAUAACCAUGCUAAAAGUGUUAUUGCUCUUUGUGUUGCUGAUUGCGGGGAUCGUGGUUGGCCCGAUGAUUGCCGGCCAUCAGGGUUAUGUGCUGAUCCAGACCGACAACUACAAUAUCGAAACCAGCGUCACGGGCCUGGCGAUCAUAUUGAUUCUGGCGAUGGUAGUGCUGUUUGCCAUUGAGUGGCUACUGCGGCGGAUCUUCCGCACUGGCGCGCACACCCGUGGGUGGUUUGUCGGACGUAAGCGUCGCCGUGCACGUAAGCAGACCGAACAGGCGCUGCUGAAACUGGCGGAAGGCGAUUAUCAGCAAGUUGAAAAGCUGAUGGCGAAAAAUGCCGAUCACGCGGAACAACCGGUGGUGAACUAUCUACUGGCUGCCGAAGCCGCGCAACAACGUGGUGAUGAAGCACGCGCCAACCAA
rnacentral:rRNA from 1 species